GGUAGCGUGGCCGAGCGGUCCAUGGCGCUGGACUAAGGCUUCGGGGGUGUGGGUUCGAAUCCCACCGCUGCCA